UGUGCCCUGCCAUGUUACAACACUGCACUCAUGUGCUCUCGCUGCCUCACUCAUACAGACAUACACACAGUACCGCGGCACCAAGAGCGCUCACACACAGAACAGCGGCAGGACGGAAACUGGAAGUGUGGUUUUGCCCUUUUGAGGAGGUUUUGCUUUCCACAGGAGCUCUGGAAAAGAGAUGGGACACUCAGGGCUGCAGUGACAGUAGCAUAGUAACCUGGAGGUCACAACUGCAAGGUGUGAAUAAGAAGCUCUCCGAUAAAGAUGCUGGAGAAAACUGGACAUACCUGUGCUGCAUGUCAACACAUUCUAUGAAGCUGAAUGAAACUACUGCGCUAGGACAUGCUCUGGAAGUGCCUGUUCUCUCCACUGACUGCAAAGACAAUGUAACGUGAAUCAUUCAGGUACAGAUAUGGUAUUCCAAGCUGUAAAUAUAUCAAAUUAGAGGAGGUGAAUUUCACUCCCAGUCUCUUACUGCCUCAUUGAUUAGGAAACAAGUGUAAAUAAUUUGGCACCCGUUUAAUGAAUGCUUCACUUCCUUGAGUACAUGCUCCAACCCUGGAUGAAGAGACCUUAGGGAGCUAUCUUUUGUUUACAGGCUCAGCUGGUGUUUUGAAAAGGGAAAUAUUAAAUUAGGUGUAUUUCCAGGAGAGUCUGCUGUUGAGAUUGAUCAAAGGUAUCACAAGGCACAGAGAAAAGGGUUAAGUACAUAAGCCUUCAUGGGACAGACUGAACAGAGAGGACAGCCAGCCAGUUGUGAUUACUAUUAAAGAGAAUCUUCUGGAGAGGGAAUCAGCUAAGAUUUUUAGGGAAGAUUUAAGCUGAGUGCAGCACCUGCUCAGGGGGCGGACAAGAAUUAAAUAAUAAAUGAAAAUAAUGCCAGGUCUCCUCUUUCUAUUGAAAGAGGAGCGAAAAUAAAGGGUGCAAACAAAGCUACAACUUUCCUAGGAACUUCUCAUUAUACUAAUUAUGGAAGGACUGGUUUCUCUCUCCUUGUAAGCACAUGAUCUUCCUGUUUCUGAUUAGGCCUGUCAUGUCAAGACUUCUGCACAUGAUGAAUUUGAAGCAUGGGAUACUCCAUUGGCUCCUAUGGGACUGUACACAUCCAGAAAGUUAAACGAAUGCACAAACAUUUACAAUGGCCACGGCCUGCAGAUGUAAACUGAUGGGGUUCUGAAACGUUACGUAUGUACUUCCUAUAGUCACUGAAAAAACAUAACCAGAAUCCUAAGACAUUUAAAUUAUACCACAAGAAAGAGUAAAUAGUAAAUACAGCUGUGAAAAUACGCAUGCUGUUGAAAUAUCAAACUGGAAUACAAUGCCACACUUAAAGCCAUAUGCAUCAUUUAAAGUCUAGUACACUGCCAGCAAGUGAGAAGUUAUGGCUUUUGCAGUGAAAAAAAAGUAAGUGGUUAUAAAACAUUAGGUUUGCAGUAGACAGGGACUGUUUUUUCAUGAAGCACUGGUACUUCAGUUAGCAAACAUUCUCUCGGGGUGCUGGUGGUUUGCUUGAGGCAUUGUGUCUAUAUUGCCUUGCAUGGCAGGAACUCCAAUCAACCUGUCCAUCACAGUAAGGUUACAGAUUAUUACAGAUUACACAGUGCUUUAUAAACAGUUUACAGCAGAAAAAAAAAAGCAAAUGCUCUACUAGAAACAGGAGCCAUGUGCAUGUCCAAUUGUUUGUUCUGAGAUGCAGAUGUUUAUAAUAGCAAGAAAAAGUUUAGCAAUGAACAAACCAAAGACGGACUGUUUGCUGCAAUUUAAAAAAAAAAUGUAUCAAUGAAGCAUGAGGUCAGUGUUUAGUUCUGCUUGCAAUGACUGAAACCUCCUAGGAGCAACGUUUGGAGAUGCUUAUGGGAAAACUUAUGUUUAAGAACAGAUUAGUUGGUAGAUUAUUAGCUUAGUACACAGCAGAUGUGGGUACUUGUUUUUGAGAAGGAUGCAAAAUGCCGAAGCAGAGAUUUCCUGAGCACAUUUGAAAUAACAUGGGCAUAGGUAAUGACCAAGUGGCACCCUGAUACUUCUCUUUUCCAUAGAAAUUCAGAGUAAUACCCACACCCACACUUUCGUGGCCUGGGAUCUAUCACAGCUGCCAGGUUGUCCUCUCUGCUAUUUGUGCCCCUGAUUUUCUUCUCUAGGUAUAGGUAAAAACACCCUGGAGAUCCUUGAAAAACAGGUGCAACAUGAGGGAAAACGAUUUAUCUACCUUUUAUCAUAAAAUGAUAGAAUGGCCUCAAUUGAAAAAGACCACAAUGAUCAUCUAGUUUCAACCCCCCUGCUAUGUGCAGGAUUGCCAACUACUAGACCAGGCUGCCCAGAGCCACAUCCAGCCUGGCUCUGAGUGUCCUACCAUCUGUAUCCAGUUUACAGAUGAAGCUAAAUUCUGCUGUGGGCUACAAUGACUAGGGCACAAAUUCCCAGCAGAGCUGCAGGAGGAAUCAUAACCAUGUAACCCUGGUAGCCUGGAAUAAGAAAAAGUAAUCACUGUAGCAAAAUCCAGCUACCACUGUAAUGGAGCAGCAUGGAGUAGGCAUUCCCACCCCUUAGGGCUUGAUAUAAAUUUUGAAGAAAGUAUGCAUUACUGCCCAAUAAAUCAGAAUUGAAGUUUUAAAGAGCAAGCCCUUUAGAAGAGACUUCUUUGCUUAAAAAUCACAGAAAAGGGGGAAAAAACAAACAAACAAACAACAAAAACCUGAAGUAAUGGCAGUUUAACUCCUGCAGCUCAGUGAUAAACUAAAUAAUUAUCUAAGAGGAAAUGAGUCUCUAAAUAUAUGAUCAGAAAGAAAACUUAUUUUUGCAGGAAGAAACUGGUGAUUGCUUUCCAAGAAAAUUUAAAAGCUGCUUUGAAAAAAUAAAAGCUACCAUAUGUGAUGAUAGUAUUAAAGAAAAACAGAACCUCAAGGACAGAUUAAGAACAUUUACUUUCCUUUCACAUAAACACACACACACACACUCUCCCAUAUACGCUCUCCAUUAAUGACUGAUGUUUACUGAAAGUCAUUUCAAUAAAUCUGUCUCCCUUCCUAUCUAAAAACUUUGAUCCUCAAAUGCAAACCCAAUUCUAGCACUGAUCAUUAAGGAAUCUGAGACGGCCGUGCCCAAGCACCUCUGCAGAAACAACUGCAGCUGUUUAAAGAUACUACCGCUACUCAGCUGUUUGGUGCUGCUUCUCACCCCACCCACACAUACAUAUAUAUAUAUAUAUCAAUCAUAUAUAGGUCAUUUGGGAAUUCCUCAUAUGCUUCAGUGCACAGGCAGCUGGGGCGGUGUAAUCUGCUUCUGCAAUGCUUGUCUGACUGUGCUCUUGGUGAGCAGGAUCUGACUCAUUCAGCUCAAGGUUACCACAGUGGGUAACACCAGAUCUUUUGCACCACCCGUGCUGGCUCUCUACUUCAAGCCUUUUUUCCCAAGGAGUUAUUUAGAGGCUCCUCUCAGAGAGUAGAAAUUCAAGCAAUUUUCUAUACUUCUUUCUCAUAGCCCUUAUUCAGCUGUAAGCAGAUUCACCACAGAAAGUUCAUGCAAACCAUUUUUUAAGCUGCACUAAAGCUCGAUGGAGAGACUGACACAAACAUGUUAAAAAUUACAGAGAAUUGCGUUGUCAUACAAACUGAUCUGAGCAACAAUGAAACACAGUAGGAUCUGCAUGACAUAUUGGAAGGGAGAUGCUAACUCUACUCUGUCCAACAAAAGGUGCCCAAAACUGGAAACAUUUUCCCACUGCAGAAAGUGUUACAGGAAAUUUUGCUUACCUGCUGAAGGGAGAAGAAAACAGGACUGAAUAACUGAUAGCGAAGACUCCGUAGCAGGUAUCCAAGAAUCACAUGAAAACUCUUGACAGGUGAUAUAAUUUGGUUAAAAAAUUCAUCCCCUUGUAAAAAAGGCAGCUCUGCAAUAAAGAGAUGAACAAAAAGUAGCAUCGCACAUACUGUUAUUCUAGGAAUUGUUUCUCCAUUGUGCACUAAUAACCUCACACACAUCACAAACAGAAGUGAAACAACUGCAAUACUCAGUUCACAUAUCUCAUAUCACAUAUCACUGAUAUAAGUAAACAUUUCUUUAAUUUUCCCUUCCCUGCUUCGUUUUCCUUGAGAGGGAACCAACGCAUUGACACCAGCUCUAAGCGCUGUGUUUAUCACCGAAGUGGAGAAGCCACUUUCCAUUAGCAUACGCACUGCAAGCAGUUCUGCAUCCCAGAACAAAAGAAAGGUUUGAAAUAAGCUUCAUAGUCUGCAAUGAUCACCACCUUUGGAGAGAAGCUGUCCUGUAAGACCUGGAAAAGUAUUACAUGCCUCAAUUAAAAAUAAUGGAAAUUCUUGCUUUAGGGCUUCAAAUAAAGGUUGUAAUGUCUGUCUGCCCGUCCACAGCUGGUCUUGAAGUGAGAUGCUUACAAACACAAUAAACAACCCUAGAGUGGAUAUCUUCCUGCA